rnacentral:rRNA from 1 species
CAAAAUGCCCCCGUAACUUCGGGAGAAGGGGGACCAGUCCUGGUGACGACAUUUACUGUCUGAGCUGGGGUUGGUCGCAGAGACCAGAGAGAAGCGACUGUUUACUAAAAACACAGGUCCGUGCGAAGUCGUAAGACGAUGUAUACGGACUGACGCCUGCCCGGUGCUGGAAGGUUAAGAGGACCGGUCAGCCACUUCGGUGGCGAAGCUGAGAAUUUAAGCCCCAGUAAACGGCGGUGGUAACUAUAACCAUCCUAAGGUAGCGAAAUUCCUUGUCGGGUAAGUUCCGACCUGCACGAAUGGCGUAACGACUUCUCUGCUGUCUCAACCACAGACUCGGCGAAAUUGCAGUACGAGUAAAGAUGCUCGUUACGCGCGGCAGGACGAAAAGACCCCGGGACCUUCACUAUAGCUUGGUAUUGGUGUUCGGUUCGGUUUGUGUAGGAUAGGUGGGAGACUGUGAAACUCGCACGCCAGUGUGGGUGGAGUCAUUGUUGAAAUACCACUCUGACCGUAUUGGACAUCUAACCUCGGACCAUGAUCUGGUUCAGGGACAGUGCCUGGUGGGUAGUUUAACUGGGGCGGUUGCCUCCCAAAAAGUAACGGAGGCGCCCAAAGGUUCCCUCAGCCUGGUUGGCAAUCAGGUGUUGAGUGUAAGUGCACAAGGGAGCUUGACUGUGAGACGUACAUGUCGAGCAGGGACGAAAGUCGGGACUAGUGAUCCGGCACCGGCAAGUGGAAGCGGUGUCGCUCAACGGAUAAAAGGUACCCCGGGGAUAACAGGCUGAUCUUCCCCAAGAGUCCAUAUCGACGGGAUGGUUUGGCACCUCGAUGUCGGCUCGUCGCAUCCUGGGGCUGGAGUAGGUCCCAAGGGUUGGGCUGUUCGCCCAUUAAAGCGGCACGCGAGCUGGGUUUAGAACGUCGUGAGACAGUUCGGUCUCUAUCCGCCGCGCGCGUAAGAAACUUGAGGAAACCUGUCCCUAGUACGAGAGGACCGGGACGGACGAACCUCUGGUGUGCCAGUUGUUCCACCAGGAGCACCGCUGGUUAGCUACGUUCGGAAGGGAUAACCGCUGAAAGCAUCUAAGCGGGAAGCCUGUUCCAAGAUGAGGUUUCUCACCACCUAGCGUGGUUAAGGCCCCCCACAGACCAUGGGGUUGAUAGGCCAGAACUGUAAGCACAGCAAUGUGUUCAGGUGACUGGUACUAAUCGGCCGAGGACUUU